ensembl:lncRNA novel transcript
AGAAGACCUCCCCUCCCCACCCCAGUGUCACUGAGCCACUUCCUCCAGCACAGCCCCACGGAGGGAGGCCCUUUUGUGUCUUGCCCAUCACCUGGCUGGCCAGAUCUGCUCAGCUCUUCCCUGACUCAAGAAAAACAAGAGAGCUUCAUUAGUCCGUUUUCAUGCUGCUAUUAAAAACUGCCUGAGACUGGGUAAUUUAUAAAGGAAAGAGGUUUAAUGACUCACAGUUCAGCAUGGUUAGGGAGGCCUCAGGAAACUUACAAUCAUGGCAGAAGGCAAAGGGGAAGCAAGACACCUCCUUCACAAGGCAGCAGGAAGAAGUGCAGAGCCCAAGAGGAAGAGCGCCUUAUAAAACCAUCAGGUCUCGUGAGAACUCACUCACUAUCACGAGAACAGCAUGGGGAAGCUGCCCUCAUGAUUCAAUUACCUCCACCUGGUCUCUCCUGUGACACAUGGGGAUAUAAGGAUUAUAAUUCAAGAUGAGACUUGGGUGGGGACACAAAUCCUAACCAUAUCAAGUGCUCUGUGGUCCCAGAUAAGCCAAGAAACCUUCGUGGAGGAGGCCACCCCCACCCUUGGCCUCCAGACCCAGUGGGAUGCCUAGGAGGAAACUGAGGCCCAGGAGCCUGGAGAUGUGUCUGCUCCAGGUCACACUGUGGGCUGUAGGGGUCCGGAACCCAGACAUGUGGACUGCGCCAGGCUCUAGCCAAUGACUCCUCCAAACCACUGCACCUCCCCAGCCCUCCAGAGUUCUCAUCUGAAAAACGGGGCAUCAGGUCUGAAGGUCUUCAAUGCCCCUUCUGGCUGGGAUAUCAGAGUUUUGGGACCUCUCUCUCCAGGUCCUCAUGAGUCCAGCAGGAGCUCUGGCAGGUCCAGGGUCCCCUCCUUCCCUCUGCUGCCACUGCUCAGCACCCAACCCUUUUUAAAAUUAGCUCUGUGAGUUACAGAAGUAAUCCCUGCUUUCUUGUUAACAUGUUUCAAACAGCACAGAAGGGUUCAAGGUGGAAGCUGAAGGUACUCCCCAGUCUCCCCCACAACCCCCAGCCCACCUCUGCUAGGUCCCACAUGGCCUUUGGGAAACAUAUGCAUUGUUCCCUCUUCCCAUAGAAGCCAGAAGGGAAGUCUGGAAUCAGUGAGCCAGGUACAGCUCUGGGCCCAGGCCCAGAGAUCCCACACUCAUGCCAGCCCCUACCCACGCCAGCCCCCUCCCUGUGCCAGCCACCGCCCCUCCAUCUAUGCAGGCCCCCUACCACCAAGCCCAUCGAUAGGGGCUCAUUAUUCCGUCCUGUCUCCCUAGGAUGGGGCAGAGUGACAGCUGUUCCGUGUUUAAUUACCGAUGGGCUGAGGCUAUGCCAACCCAUGAAUAAAAUUACAGUUGUUCUGCAAUGC